CAAGGGCUGCCGCCGGACACAUCAAUUUCAGCAUGGAAGCGGACAAGAAACGAUAUCGGGAUAUUCCGAAAAAGUGUCUGCCCUAUCAACCUGAUGGUAGUCUAUUAGUCUACCAUGGUUAUUAAGGGUGACGGAGAAUAAGGGUUCGACUCCGGAGAGGGAGCCUUAGAAACGGCUACUACAUUCAAGGAAGGCAGCAGGCGCGAAACUUAUCCAAUCUUGAACAGAUGAGAUAGUGACUAAAAAUAAGAAGACCAUUCCUAUGGAAUGGUCAUUUCAAUGAGUUGAUCAUAAACCUUUUUUCGAGGAUCAAGUGGAGGGCAAGUCUGGUGCCAGCAGCCGCGGUAAUUCCAGCUCCACUAGUGUAAAUCGUCAUUGCUGCGGUUAAAAAGCUCGUAGUUGGAUCUGAGUUACAUGCAGUGAUUCGCCUUUGGCGUUAAUCGCUAACCGUAACUAUUUGCUGGUUUUCUAUUAAGGUUUCGGCUUCUUUAGUGGCUAGCGAGUUUACUUUGAAUAAAUUAGAGUGCUCAGAA
rnacentral:ncRNA from 1 species